GAAAGAGGAGGAUGUUGGCCAAUUGAUACCUGUAGUAUGAGGGGUGGCCGUGAUUGAAUGUUUUUAGCAGUGGUUGUGAAAUGAAAUGUUGUCCAUUGUGAUUUUGAUAUUAGUACAUAAAUGGAAUGGUUUAAAAGUCUUACAGCUGAUAUAGAUAUGGUUAUUACCCCGAAUAUCAUUUCAUUUGUUGAAGUUGAUAUUACGAUCGAUUGAACAUGGAUAUCAUCACUAGAUGAUAUAUGAUUGAUAUGAAAUUCUCCCUCCAUGUUGAGGUUGUAGAUUGCUCCCUCUUCUGUUGAAAUCAUAUCACAGAUUGAGGUUGUAUAUUGCUCCCUCUUCUGUUGAAAUAAUAUCACAGAUUGAGGUUGUAGAUAGCAGGUCUAGAUGUGCACAUUAGACAUUGAUGGCCCUCGGAAUUGACUCUAUAAAAGCUGUAAAGACUACAUUAUGAAUUUAUGAUUUCAUGGUAUUGUUAUGUUUUCUUUAUUUCCUUUAACAUGGUGGUUUAUGAAUUAUAAUUCGUUAUUGUUAAAAAGAAAAAAAAAAUAGUACACCACUAAGCCAUAUGCUUAGCGAUAGUUGCUUUUGUACUAUCGCAG
rnacentral:lncRNA from 1 species